GUACCUACAGGUAUAUCAGUUUUACGUGCCCCCACAUAACGUGUUGGUCAAAGGGAAACUUUGAAGAUGCAGCCAAAAAAUUAUCAUGAGAUCAGGUUAUACCAGGUAUAUGUGUCUUUUUACAGACUACAGGCGCUGAGAUGAUCUGUUACAUUAAACUGGGAUAUAUAAUAUAUUCCGAAGAACUACAGAAGAUUAUAUUUUCUUUCUUCCCGUUAAUAUCCAUUGUAUCUGAAGGUCUAAGGUCUUUCCCAAGUACGGUUUAGAAUCAAAACCCAAAUCCAAGGAACUUUUAGCUGCCCCGUGCUGUACUUUAUCUGCACCUGCGGUCAACAGCUGUAAUGCCAACUUGCGGAAGCACCGAUCUGUGUGAUCAGCUGAGGGUUCUUUAAAAAAAAAUACAAAAAGUGUUUGCCCAACUAAGUAAUUAGCAAUCAGCGAGUGCCUAAGAUCAGGUAUUUCAGGCAUCUGCGUCGCAGAAUCCACUUAAGGUAUAUGCCAUAUACAAAAAUAUGUACCGCUUACAUCGCAAUGUUGGGGAUGUGAUCGAAAAAGUUAUAGUAACAGCUGCAAGUUAACACACAGAGUAUCUGAUGGUCUGUUUGGGCCAAAGGGUUACCAGCCAACGCUGACGUCAAUUUUUGCCAAAUUAACGUUCAAGUGCGAAAUGAAAAUUAUGCAUUGGUCUGCGUUUCGAUGGUGCGAUUGUGUGCGUGUGCAGCAGUGAAAGUAGAAAGUGAUUCAAGAGGUGGCGGCAUGUUAAUGAUGAUGCUGAUCUGAUGCUCGGCUGAUGACGAAAUACCGAGGCACUGAACAAAAAUUGGAUCAAUAUUUAUCAUACAAGAUGUAUAGCUCAUAAAUAUUUCGAACUUUUAUUACUUCUUGUCAUAUCAUAUGGAUGUAUAUUUAUUAUAAUAGCAAGUUAAAUUUAAGAAACACAUAUACAAAAUAAAUUUUAUAUUACUAAGAUUAAGAUCUUAGUAUUCAGAAAAUCGAUCAGUAUAAUGCAAGUUGCACCACGCCCCCUGCAUUCGUCUUGUCACAAAAGCGAAACCCAGAAAAAAUGUACUGAUCGAUUUUUAAUCGAUUUAAUUUCUUUCCAUUGGUUCGUGACUGAAAAAAGGGAGGGGGGAAAAUGGGAACUCUUGAUGAUCAUUUGACGGAUGAAGGCGAUCGACUAAAUAUAAAUUGAACGAUCGUGUUUGGCACAUUUGUGCGAGAAAUCACAUCAAUUGUUUUAAUUGUCUGGUAUAUAGGCAAAGUUGGGAUGUGUGGGGCGAUACUAUAUGCGAUCUAUAGGUAAUGCCGCGUGCACGGAACCCAAAUCUAUAGCAAAACACUCGCCAGACGCGAUUAUGCAAUCGCCGCCCGAGAAUCUGAAUCGGGAGAGUCAAUAUAGGAAAGGCAAAGAUAACAUCGGGGUAAUGUGUGUAUUUUUUUCUCACUUAAGGCCUUUGGCCAGACAAACAGUCGACUCCCAUGAGUCGCAUGCAAAAUUUCGCUCAAAGUGAAUCAAUUAAAAGACCACUUUACAGCCGAUACGGAAGAUGACACACUUACCGAUAACGAAUUGCAGCAAAAAAUGCACUUAAAUUCUACAGAUUAUAGUGAUGUCAAAAUAAAUAAAUGUCCAGUUAGGCCUUACAAGAUGCUGCAUACACAAAAAUAGCAUAUGGUCGAGUAAAACACCCAUGAUUCAUGAUGCUUGUGUAAUAAUCCCAAUCAGUGUUGAAAUUAACCAAAUAUGGCGAAGACCCGAAAUCGAGUUCCCCAAAACGACGAUGAUGAUUCACAGGCGUCAGCAUUUCUCAAAAGAAGUCGGCGUCACUAAGAUAUAUUUAUUUAUUUUUAUGCGUUUUGGCGUCACCUGCUGACCCGCCUACCACUUGUUCACGAUCAAGAUAUAGAGUCAUAAAUUUAUGCCCAUUAAACUAUUUUCACUCUCGAUUCUGACGAUAGUCGGAUAAAUAUUAAAUAUCUUAACAAAAAUACGCAUUCCUAUUAAAAAUCCUGACCAAUAAAGUUACAUUUAUUCCCUUA